rnacentral:lncRNA from 10 species
GGCCCCACCCUUAUCUCCCUUCACUGAUUCUCUUUUUGGACUCAGCCUGCCUGCACCCAGGUGAAAUAAAGAGCCAUGUUGCUCACACAAAGCCUGUUUGGUGGUCUCUUCACACCGACGCACAUGAAAUUUGGUGCCGUGACUCAGAUCGGGGGACCUCCCUUGGGAGAUCAAUCCGCUGUACUCCUGUUCUUUGCUCCUUGAGAAAGAUCCACCUAUGACCUCAGGUCCUCAGACCGACCAGCCCAAGGAACAUCUCACCAAUUUUAAAUCGGAUCUUCUCGGCUUAGCGGCUGAAGACUGACACUGCCGGAUCACCUCGGAAGCCCCCUAGACCAUCAUGGACGCCGAGCUUCAGGUAACUCUCACAGUGGAAGGUAAGUCCGUCCCCUUCUUAAUCAAUAGGGAGGCUACCCACUCCACAUUACCUUCUUUUCAAGGGCCUGUUUCCCUUGCUUCCAUAACUGUUGUGGGUAUUGACAGCCAGGCUUCUAAACCUCUUAAAACUCCCCAACUCUGGUGCCAACUUAGACAAUACUCUUUUAAGCACUCCUUUUUUAGUUAUCCCCACCUGCCCUGUUCCCUUAUUAGGCCGAGACACUUUAACUAAAUUAUCUGCUUCCCUGACUAUUCCUGGACUACAGCUAUAUCUCAUUGCCGCCCUUCUGCCCAAUCCAAAGCCUCCUUUGUGUCCUCCUCUUGUAUCCCCCCACCUUAACCCACAAGUAUAAGAUACCUCUACUCCCUCCUUGGCGACCGAUCAUGCACCCCUUACCAUCUCAUUAAAACCUAAUCACCCUUACCCCACUCAACACCAAUAUCCCAUCCCACAGCAUGCUUUGAAAAGAUUAAAGCCUGUUAUCACUCACCUGCUACAGCACGGCCUUUUAAAACCUAUAAACUCUCCUUACAAUUCCCCCAUUUUACCUGUCCUAAAACCAGACAAGCCUUCCAAGUUAGCUCAGGAUCUGCGCCUUAUCGACCAAAUUGUUUUGCCUAUCCACCCUGUGGUGCCCAACCCAUACACUCUUUUGUCCUCAAUACCUUCCUCCACAA